GCCUGGUUAGCUCAGCUGGUUAGAGCGUCGUACUAAUAUAAUUCGAAACAAUUAUUUCAAGUCCUGAAAAAUCAUGCGAAGGUCAACAGUUCAAUCCUGUUACUGGGCA